rnacentral:rRNA from 1 species
GAUGAACGCUGGCGGCGUGCCUAAUACAUGCAAGUCGAGCGAACAGACGAGGAGCUUGCUCCUCUGACGUUAGCGGCGGACGGGUGAGUAACACGUGGAUAACCUACCUAUAAGACUGGGAUAACUUCGGGAAACCGGAGCUAAUACCGGAUAAUAUAUUGAACCGCAUGGUUCAAUAGUGAACGACGGUUUUGCUGUCACUUAUAGAUGGAUCCGCGCCGCAUUAGCUAGUUGGUAAGGUAACGGCUUACCAAGGCAACGAUGCGUAGCCGACCUGAGAGGAUGAUCCGCCACACUGGAGCUGAGACACGGUCCAGACUCCUACGGGAGGCAGCAAUAGGGAAUCUUCCGCAAUGGGCGAAAGCUUGACGGAGCAACGCCGCGUGAGUGAUAAAGGGCUUCGGAUCGUAAAACUCUGUUAUUAGGGAAGAAAAAAUGUGUAAGUAACUAUGCACGUCUUGACGGUACCUAAUCAGAAAGCCACGGCUAACUACGUG